rnacentral:rRNA from 1 species
CUUAAAGAAUAGUUUUUAGGUAGUGCCUGCCCAGUGAGUAUUUAACGGCCGCGGUAAUUUGCCCGUGUUAAGGUAGCAUAAUCAUUUGUCUUUUAAUUGAAGACUGGAAUGAAAGGUUUAACAAGAAACUUGCUGUCUUGAAAAAUUAAGUUGAAUUUUAUUUUUUAGUGAAAAAGCUAAAAUAGUUUUGUGGGACGAUAAGACCCUAUAGAUCUUUAUUAUUUGAAAAUGGUUAACUUUUGAAGAUAAUUUUAUUGGGGCGAUGAUAAGAAAGAAAUAUCUCUUAAAAUUUUAAUAUACUAAUAAGUAGAUUAAUUUACGAUCCUAAAAGAUGGAUUAUUAGAAUAAGUUACCUUAGGGAUAACAGCGUAAUAUUUUUUUAGAGUUCUUAUCGAAAAAAAUGUUUGCGACCUCGAUGUU